ACGCUGGCGGCGUGCCUAAUACAUGCAAGUUGAGCGCUGAAGGUUGGUACUUGUACCGACUGGAUGAGCAGCGAACGGGUGAGUAACGCGUGGGGAAUCUGCCUUUGAGCGGGGGACAACAUUUGGAAACGAAUGCUAAUACCGCAUAAAAACUUUAAACACAAGUUUUAAGUUUGAAAGAUGCAAUUGCAUCACUCAAAGAUGAUCCCGCGUUGUAUUAGCUAGUUGGUGAGGUAAAGGCUCACCAAGGCGAUGAUACAUAGCCGACCUGAGAGGGUGAUCGGCCACAUUGGGACUGAGACACGGCCCAAACUCCUACGGGAGGCAGCAGUAGGGAAUCUUCGGCAAUGGACGAAAGUCUGACCGAGCAACGCCGCGUGAGUGAAGAAGGGUUUCGGAUCGUAAAACUCUGUUGGUAGAGAAGAACGUUGGUGAGAGUGGAAAGCUCAUCAAGUGACGGUAACUACCCAGAAAGGGACGGCUAACUACGUG
rnacentral:rRNA from 1 species